rnacentral:rRNA from 1 species
CCUACGGGUGGCUGCAGUGGGGAAUAUUGGACAAUGGGCGAAAGCCUGAUCCAGCCAUGCCGCGUGUGUGAAGAAGGCCUUCGGGUUGUAAAGCACUUUCAGUGGGGAAGAAAGCCUUGGGGCUAAUACCCUCGAGGAAGGACAUCACCCACAGAAGAAGCACCGGCUAACUCCGUGCCAGCAGCCGCGGUAAUACGGAGGGUGCGAGCGUUAAUCGGAAUUACUGGGCGUAAAGCGCGCGUAGGCGGUCUGAUAAGCCGGUUGUGAAAGCCCCGGGCUCAACCUGGGAACGGCAUCCGGAACUGUCAGGCUAGAGUGCAGGAGAGGAAGGUAGAAUUCCCGGUGUAGCGGUGAAAUGCGUAGAGAUCGGGAGGAAUACCAGUGGCGAAGGCGGCCUUCUGGACUGACACUGACGCUGAGGUGCGAAAGCGUGGGUAGCAAACAGGAUUAGAUACCGCAGUAGUC